AUUGAACGCUGGCGGAAUGCUUUACACAUGCAAGUCGAACAGCAGCACGGGUGCUUGCACCUGGUGGCGAGUGGCGAACGGGUGAGUAAUACAUCGGAACGUACCCAGUUAUGGGGGAUAACUAACCGAAAGGUUAGCUAAUACCGCAUACGCCCUGAGGGGGAAAGCGGGGGACCGUAAGGCCUCGCGUAAUUGGAGCGGCCGAUGUCUGAUUAGCUAGUUGGUGAGGUAAAGGCUCACCAAGGCGACGAUCAGUAGCAGGUCUGAGAGGAUGAUCUGCCACACUGGAACUGGGACACGGUCCAGACUCCUACGGGAGGCAGCAGUGGGGAAUUUUGGACAGUGGGGGAAACCCUGAUCCAGCCAUUCCGCGUGAGUGAAGAGGGCCUUCGGGUUGUAAAGCUCUUUCGGCAGGGAAGAAACGGUCUAGGUUAAUACCUUGGGCUAAUGACGGUACCUGAAGAAUAAGCACCGGCUAACUACGUGCCAGCCGCCGCGGUAA
rnacentral:rRNA from 1 species